UUGAACGCUGGCGGCAGGCCUAACACAUGCAAGUCGAGCGGUUGAGAGUAGCUUGCUACUUGAUGCAGCGGCGGACGGGUGAGUAACGCGUGGGAAUCUGCCCAGUAGUGGGGGACAACAGCCGGAAACGGCUGCUAAUACCGCAUACGCCCUACGGGGGAAAGGGGGGGAUCUUCGGACCUCUCGCUAUUGGAUGAGCCCGCGUCGGAUUAGCUAGUUGGUAGGGUAAAGGCCUAACAAGGCUACGAUCCGUAACUGGUCUGAGAGGAUGAUCAGUCAAACUGGAACUGAGACACGGUCCAGACUCCUACGGGAGGCAGCAGUGGGGAAUAUUGGACAAUGGGGGAAACCCUGAUCCAGCCAUGCCGCGUGUGUGAAGAAGGCCUUAGGGUUGUAAAGCACUUUCAGUGGGGAGAAAGGUUUGUCACCUAAUACGUGAUGAAAUUGAUGUUACCCACAGAAGAAGCACCGGCUAACUCCGUGCCAGCAGCCGCCGUAACAC
rnacentral:rRNA from 1 species